rnacentral:rRNA from 1 species
ACGAACGCUGGCGGCGUGCCUAAUCCAUGCCCGUAGAACGCUGAAGAGAGGAGCUUGCUCUUCUUGGAUGAGUUGCGAACGGGUGAGUAACGCGUAGGUAACCUGCCUUGUAGCGGGGGAUAACUAUUGGAAACGAUAGCUAAUACCGCAUAACAAUGGAUGACACAUGUCAUUUAUUUGAAAGGGGCAAUUGCUCCACUACAAGAUGGACCUGCGUUGUAUUAGCUAGUAGGUGAGGUAAUGGCUCACCUAGGCGACGAUACAUAGCCGACCUGAGAGGGUGAUCGGCCACACUGGGACUGAGACACGGCCCAGACUCCUACGGGAGGCAGCAGUAGGGAAUCUUCGGCAAUGGGGGCAACCCUGACCGAGCAACGCCGCGUGAGUGAAGAAGGUUUUCGGAUCGUAAAGCUCUGUUGUAAGUCAAGAACGGGUGUGAGAGUGGAAAGUUCACACUGUGACGGUAGCUUACCAGAAAGGGACGGCUAACUACGUG